GCAUAUCAAUAAGCGGAGGAAAAGAAACUAACAAGGAUUCCCCUAGUAACGGCGAGUGAAGCGGGAAGAGCUCAAAUUUGUAAUCUGGCACUUUCAGUGUCCGAGUUGUAAUCUCGAGAAGUAUUUUCCGCGCCGGACCGCAUACAAGUCUGUUGGAAUACAGCGUCAUAGUGGUGAGAACCCCGUAACUGAUGCGGAUGCCCGGUGCUUUGUGAUAUACUUUCGAAGAGUCGAGUUGUUUGGGAAUGCAGCUCAAAUUGGGUGGUAAAUUCCAUCUAAAGCUAAAUAUUGGAGCAAGACCGAUAGCGAACAAGUACCGUGAGGGAAAGAUGAAAAGCACUUUGGAAAGAGAGUUAACAGUACGUGAAAUUGUUGGAAGGGAAACGCUUGAAGUCAGACUUGCUAUUCGGAGUUCAGCCGCAAGGUGUAUUCUUCGAUUUGCAGGCCAGCAUCAGUUUUUGGGGGUGGAAAAUCGUGGUUUGAAGGUAGCAGUUUCGGCUGUGUUAUAGCUUUCCACUGGAUUCAUCUUCGGGGACUGAGGAACGCAGUACGCUUUUUGCAAGGCUUUCGAGCUUUUCGUACUUAGGAUGCUGGUGGAAUGGCUUUAAACGACCCGUCUUGAAACACGGAC
rnacentral:rRNA from 1 species